UAACUUGCCCUUGGGUCUGGGAUAACCCCUGGGAAACUGGGGCUAAUACCGGAUAGAGCAUCGAUCGCUGGAAUGCMUGAUGCUCGAAAACUACGGUGCCCAAGGAUAGGUCUGCGGCUGAUUAGGUUGUUGUUGAUGUAAUGGACCAACAAGCCUACGAUCGGUACGGGUUGUGAGAGCAAUAGCCCGGAGAUGGGUUCUGAGAAAAGAACCCAGGUCCUACGGGACGCAUCAGGCGCGAAAACUUUACACUGUGCGAAAGCACGAUAAGGGAACUCUGAGUGCCUCCUAAGGAGGCUGUUCUAGUGUCUAAAAAGCAAUAGAAGUAAGGGCUGGGCAAGACCGGUGCCAGCCGCCGCGGUAACACCGGCAGCCCAAGUGGUAGCCACGUUUAUUGGGUCUAAAGCGUUCGUAGCCGGCUUGGUAAGUUCCUUGGUAAAUUUAGCCGCUUAACGGUUAAGCUUUCAGGGAAUACUGCUURGCUUGGGACUGGGAGAGGUCAGAGGUACUCCAGGGGUAGGGGUGAAAUCCAUUAAUCCUUGGGGGACCACCGGUAGCGAAGGCGUCUGACCAGACCAGCUCCGACGGUGAGGGACGAAGGCUAGGGGCGCGAACCGGAUUAGAUACCCGGGUAGUCCUAGCUGUAAACGAUGCGGGCUAGGUGUUGGCAUUACUGCGAGUGGUGCCAGUGCCGAAGGGAAGCCGUUAAGCUCGCCAUCUGGGGAGUACGGUCGCAAGGCUUAACUUAA
rnacentral:rRNA from 1 species